UACGAAGGGGGCUAGCGUUGUUCGGAAUUACUGGGCGUAAAGCGCGUGUAGGCGGGUCUUUAAGUCAGGGGUGAAAUGCCAAGGCUCAACCUUGGAACUGCCUUUGAUACUGGAGACCUUGAGUCCGGGAGAGGUGAGUGGAAUUGCGAGUGUAGAGGUGAAAUUCGUAGAUAUUCGCAAGAACACCAGUGGCGAAGGCGGCUCACUGGCCCGGAACUGACGCUGAGACGCGAAAGCAUGGGGAGCAAACAGG
rnacentral:rRNA from 1 species